AAAAAAUAAAUAAAAAAUCUAUUAAAAAAUAAGUGAAAUAAAUUGAACACACAGAAUCGGAAACUGAAACGAAAAUAUGACACAAACAUAUUUACAUUAUUUUUCUUCUUCUUGUUCUAGAGGCCGCUGCCUCUUUAACCCACAAUUUGCUCAUUAAUUUUCUUUCUAUUUGCUAUUCGCGCCAAGUCAAAAGAAAUUCUCGUUUCACUUGAUUGAAAGAAACACUUAAUGGUUUUUCGAUUCGCUGCGAUGAUGCAGCAGCAAGUGUGUAAAUUGAUAUUAUAAUGAUAUCAUGCGACUUUUUAUGAAUCUUUUAACUAAAAAAUAAUUUGCCUUGAUGUCAUUUAUAUAAUUUAAUGGUACCCCGCAAGACAAAAUGAAAUGUUGAACUUUGGCAUAUGGUAAAAUACCCGAAACGAGCGAAUAAUACAAAGC